GGGGAAUUUUCCGCAAUGGGCGCAAGCCUGACGGAGCAACGCCGCGUGAGGGAUGAAGGCCUCUGGGCUGUAAACCUCUUUUAUCAAGGAAGAAGAUCUGACGGUACUUGAUGAAUAAGCCACGGCUAAUUCCGUGCCAGCAGCCGCGGUAAUACGGGAGUGGCAAGCGUUAUCCGGAAUUAUUGGGCGUAAAGCGUCCGCAGGCGGUUUUACAAGUCUGUCGUUAAAACGUGGAGCUCAACUCCAUUUCGGCGAUGGAAACUGUAAGACUAGAGUGUGGUAGGGGCAGAGGGAAUUCCCGGUGUAGCGGUGAAAUGCGUAGAUAUCGGGAAGAACACCAGUGGCGAAGGCGCUCUGCUGGGCCAUAACUGACGCUCAUGGACGAAAGCUAGGGGAGCGAAAGGGAUUAGAUACCCCUGUAGUC
rnacentral:rRNA from 1 species